GACGAACGCUGGCGGCGUGCUUAACACAUGCAAGUCGAACGGAAAGGCCCUGCUUUUGUGGGGUGCUCGAGUGGCGAACGGGUGAGUAACACGAGAGUAACCUGCCCUUGACUUUGGGAUAACUUCAGGAAACUGGGGCUAAUACCGGAUAGGAGCUCCUGCUGCAUGGUGGGGGUUGGAACGUUUCGGCGGUUGGGGAUGGACUCGCGGCUUAUCAGCUUGUUGGUGGGGUAGUGGCUUACCCAGGCUUUGACGGGUAGGCGGCCUGGGAGGGUGACCGGCCACAUUAGGACUGAGAUACGGCCCAGACUCCUACGGGAGGCAGCAGUGGGGAAUAUUGCACAAUGGUCGGAAGCCUGAUGCAGCAACGCCGCGUGCGGGAUGACGGCCUUCGGGUUGUAAACCGCUUUCGCCUGUGACGAAGCGUGAGUGACGGUAAUGGGUAAAGAAGCACCGGCUAACUACGUG
rnacentral:rRNA from 1 species